rnacentral:rRNA from 1 species
GAUCGAACGGUGAAGCCAAGCUUGCUUGGUGGAUCAGUGGCGAACGGGUGAGUAACACGUGAGCAACCUGCCCUGGACUCUGGGAUAAGCGCUGGAAACGGCGUCUAAUACUGGAUAUGAGCUCCUUCCGCAUGGUGGGGGUUGGAAAGAUUUUUCGGUCUGGGAUGGGCUCGCGGCCUAUCAGCUUGUUGGUGAGGUAAUGGCUCACCAAGGCGUCGACGGGUAGCCGGCCUGAGAGGGUGACCGGCCACACUGGGACUGAGACACGGCCCAGACUCCUACGGGAGGCAGCAGUGGGGAAUAUUGCACAAUGGGCGGAAGCCUGAUGCAGCAACGCCGCGUGAGGGAUGACGGCCUUCGGGUUGUAAACCUCUUUUAGCAGGGAAGAAGCGAAAGUGACGGUACCUGCAGAAAAAGCGCCGGCUAACUACGUGCCAGCAGCCGCGGUAAUACGUAGGGCGCAAGCGUUAUCCGGAAUUAUUGGGCGUAAAGAGCUCGUAGGCGGUUUGUCGCGUCUGCUGUGAAAUCCCGAGGCUCAACCUCGGGCCUGCAGUGGGUACGGGCAGACUAGAGUGCGGUAGGGGAGAUUGGAAUUCCUGGUGUAGCGGUGGAAUGCGCAGAUAUCAGGAGGAACACCGAUGGCGAAGGCAGAUCUCUGGGCCGUAACUGACGCUGAGGAGCGAAAGGGUGGGGAGCAAACAGGCUUAGAUACCCUGGUAGUCCACCCCGUAAACGUUGGGAACUAGUUGUGGGGACCAUUCCACGGUUUCCGUGACGCAGCUAACGCAUUAAGUUCCCCGCCUGGGGAGUACGGCCGCAAGGCUAAAACUCAAAGGAAUUGACGGGGACCCGCACAAGCGGCGGAGCAUGCGGAUUAAUUCGAUGCAACGCGAAGAACCUUACCAAGGCUUGACAUAUACGAGAAUGGGCCAGAAAUGGUCAACUCUUUGGACACUCGUAAACAGGUGGUGCAUGGUUGUCGUCAGCUCGUGUCGUGAGAUGUUGGGUUAAGUCCCGCAACGAGCGCAACCCUCGUUCUAUGUUGCCAGCACGUAAUGGUGGGAACUCAUGGGAUACUGCCGGGGUCAACUCGGAGGAAGGUGGGGAUGACGUCAAAUCAUCAUGCCCCUUAUGUCUUGGGCUUCACGCAUGCUACAAUGGCCGGUACAAAGGGCUGCAAUACCGUAAGGUGGAGCGAAUCCCAAAAAGCCGGUCCCAGUUCGGAUUGAGGUCUGCAACUCGACCUCAUGAAGUCGGAGUCGCUAGUAAUCGCAGAUCAGCAACGCUGCGGUGAAUACGUUCCCGGGUCUUGUACACACCGCCCGUCAAGUCAUGAAAGUCGGUAACACCUGAAGCCGGUGGCCCAACCCUUG